rnacentral:rRNA from 1 species
UACGGAGGGGGCUAGCGUUGUUCGGAAUUACUGGGCGUAAAGGGCUCGUAGGCGGCCCACUAAGUCCGACGUGAAAUCCCCAGGCUUAACUUGGGAACUGCGUCGGAUACUGGUGGGCUUGAAUCCGGGAGAGGGAUGCGGAAUUCCAGGUGUAGCGGUGAAAUGCGUAGAUAUCUGGAGGAACACCGGUGGCGAAGGCGGCAUCCUGGACCGGCAUUGACGCUGAGUGAGCGAAAGCCAGGGGAGCAAACGGG